CUCCAUCCCAGAGUUUCUGAUUCAUUAGGCCUCAGAUGGGGUCAAGAGUUUGCAUUUUCAACUAGCAAUGCUAAUACUGCUAUUCCUGGGAUCAUACUUUGAAGAAAACUACUGAUUAGAUCAUUUGAUACGCACAUCUCACAUGGCUAUUAAGAGUUGAAGACUAUGGACAAUCUUCCAGGCCGCUUUCUUCAUCUUAUCGGAUGUUUUUUAUUACCUCAGUCUGUUAACACCAAUUAUGUUCAUGGUCUCAAUUCACCUUCCGACAUUUCAGUGGGACAAAACACUUCGCCAUAUCAUCAGGUUAAUUUAUUCUCUCUGCCAUACAACACCAAGAGUAAAGGACAAACCCUUUGGGAGUGUCACCAAAUACUAAAACUAAACCAAUUAACCCGUCAACUAACUAAC